ensembl:miRNA
AAUAUCUAUUAGGUUGGUGCAAAAAUAAUUGCAGUUUAUGCCUUUAUGGCUAAUGGCAAAAACUGUAAUUACUUUUGCAGCAACCUAAUA